UUGUAUGCCCUCAUUUCUUAUUUUAUUGUGUAUGUUUUAUCUUUUUUCCCCCUUCUACUUUCCCCUUGGCUUAGAGCAUGUCCAACCAUUAAUGAAAAAUUUUAGUAAGUCUGCAAGAAAAAAAGAAAAAAAGUAGAGAGUUUCUUCUCUUGUGAGUUUUCUGCUACUUUUAAUAUUCAUAUUCAUAUUCAAUGGUGAAAAUCAAGGUGAACAAAUAAUUUUAUUGUUUGGUAGGUAAAGGAGAAAGGAAAAAGUUCUGUUAAUUUUUGUUUUCCUUUCCAUAUAUCAAAGGGUAAGCUUUUUAUGCCCUAAUUAUUUAAUCUCUGUCAAUGUGUUUUGUACGUCUUUUUUUCCUAAUAUCGUCUUGGUUUGUAGCACCAUUACUAAGAAAUUUCAGAUAAUAUCUUCUUACAUGAAUUUCUAUAAACUUUAAUGGUGGAAUUCAAGUUUAAACGGUACUACUUUACCUUUUAACGAAUAUUUUUUCUUUCAGUUAAGAUAACAAAGAUGCAAAUGUCUCACUAUUGCAGCCCCUAUUUUCUUGGGAUGAAAAUAAGAAGCAAAUGAAGUUGAAAAUGAGGCAUCGAAGCUACAUGAGAUGAAAGGGGGCAAUAAUUGCCAAGAAAAUCUGUAUGUGGAUUUUGCCUUUCUUCGUAUGUCAAUUUCUUUGUAGCUCAGUUUUUGUUCUUUUGACUUUAUCUGGUAGUUAUUUUUCAAUAUUUUCUUUCUUUUUUUUUUCGAGGUUUUUUGGUUGUACAAGCGCUAGCCUCAUGGUAAUGGAAGGUGAAACUAUCCGAAUUAAUGUGAAGAACAAACCUUCUAGUAGAACAGGCAUGCUUUCAGCUACAGGAUUGUUAAAUGGACAUCCUGGAACUGUAAAGGCCAAAACUCUAAGCAUAGCACCACUCCCCAGUGGAGGAGUGAGGAUUUAGUCUCCUCUCCGACCCCCUCCCAAUGAUUCUGCAGCUGCUAGGAUGACUUUGGGAAGGCAUGAUACUACUCUUAAGGGGCCUAAGGAAGUUGCUAGACAUUCUGCUGAUCCACUGGCAAAUCUGUCACAACUGGAGAAGAAUCUUCCUACAACCACUGGAACAGGUUCUAAGAAGUCCACUGCAGCUGGAUGGGCUGCUUUUUUAUCAUGUUAGCAUUUGACUGUUGGUGGUUCGGAUCUUUGUCUCCUGUUGUAUUUAACAAGCUGAGAAAAAUUGAAAAGAAAAUUCAUAACUGAAGGAAUUUCAAUAUGUGCUCCAUCUUUGGAGGAAUAAUUAUUCUCGAAAUGUGUUGAUAUCGUUCUUUUGACAUACUUGGACUGUUGAUCUCAAAUUUAUAUGCGUAUAACACAAGAUAAUUCUCUU